CUUUUAGUAUAAGUAUAUCCCAGGGAAUAUUUGGGAUAUACUUAUACUAAAA
rfam:Ailuropoda melanoleuca scaffold1376_12, whole genome shotgun sequence.